UUAUACGCCCCUCAAAAAUGUAUUGGGUGCACUCUACAAAAUCAAGGCACCGGUAGAAACUACAACUGCUCCUCAUGGUUCGGCUCAUUUUACGAAAAAUGCAAAAUGAUUUCUUAUAUCCUCAACACAAGGAAACAUGUUUUAAUAAAAAAGGAGCCGAAAAGCAGCACAGAGAAGGUCUUCAGUGGAAGUUUCCAGACAUCGUUCUGAAGAACUUUGGUCCAAUGCCAAUUUCUCCUCAAAACCUACCUGUCCAGGCAGAGCUGGUAGAUUUCAUCAGCUACUCCGACCUUGAAAACAACAGUAUAUCUCUCUCCAUUGCAGCCACUCCAUUUGACUGCACGUGUUGUGAUCGGUGAGCCUAAGUCUAAAUAAAGACCACAGCAUGUUGUAAUAUGAUAUAAUGUCUUACAUUUGGGUAAUUUCAGUUAGUUUUCCUGUUAUGUACGAUAGUGCCCUGGGUUAUUAUUUACAAACAUCUGUAAACUAUAAAUACUGCAUCGUCUUUGUAAAAUUAAAUAAAAUCUCUCUUACCUGGAAGAAGGGGCCUUGAAGUGAGAAAUGACGACAAAACUAUGGACUCACAAGGGCCCAGAAUGUACUUGGAAAAGAAGGAAGUAUAUCCCGAAGGUGGAAGGUAAAAAUGUGAUUCUCCAGAGAAACAAUAUGUACAAACGUAUCGGGAAAACUAGACCACAGUUUAGAUGAUAAUUUCAUAUUUUUUAAGACAUUUUCAUGAGGAUCAUAAACCAAUACCCUGAAAUCAAUGAGGACAAACUACAGUAGAUAAUUAUGAACUAAACGCCUCUUGUUAACAUUUCUGAUAUUUCUUGUUCAUCCCAAUGAUAAUUUUUUUGAAGAUGUGACCGAGAAUGGUAAUUAAAAGACAUAUUUUCAUUAAUCUCAGCUUACAUGUCAGAAAGGUAAAAUUGAUUUUACAUUACAAUUACCCCUUAAUUUGCAACUUU
rnacentral:lncRNA from 1 species